UACGUAGGGGGCAAGCGUUGUCCGGAUUUAUUGGGCGUAAAGAGCGUGUAGGCGGCCAUACAGGUCCGUUGUGAAAACUGGAGGCUUAACCUCCAGACGUCGAUGGAAACCGUAUGGCUAGAGUCCGGAAGAGGCGAGUGGAAUUCCUGGUGUAGCGGUGAAAUGCGCAGAUAUCAAGGAGGAACACCAAUGGCGAAGGCAGCUCGCUGGGACGUGACUGACGCUGAGACGCGAAAGCGUGGGGAGCAAACAGG
rnacentral:rRNA from 1 species